rnacentral:rRNA from 1 species
GAUGAACGCUGGCGGCGUGCCUAACACAUGCAAGUCGAGCGAUUUACUUCGGUAAAGAGCGGCGGACGGGUGAGUAACGCGUGGGUAACCUGCCCUGUACACACGGAUAACAUACCGAAAGGUAUGCUAAUACGAGAUAAAAUACUUUUAUCGCAUGGUAGAAGUAUCAAAGCUUUUGCGGUACAGGAUGGACCCGCGUCUGAUUAGCUAGUUGGUAAGGUAACGGCUUACCAAGGCGACGAUCAGUAGCCGACCUGAGAGGGUGAUCGGCCACAUUGGAACUGAGACACGGCCCAG